UAAUAAGUGUUUUAUGGCACUUUUUAAAUCCAUAUCCACCUUGUGUGCAAUGUCAGGUCGAUCUUCUUCUAUUGAGAGUCGACCAAACAUCAACCUUUAUCUUUUAACUCUUUGUCUGAAAAAUAUUAUGAAUAAACAAUUCAAAAUACAACUUUCAACAACGGAUCUCUUGGCUCUCGCAUCGAUGAAGAACGCAGCGAAAUGCGAUACGUAAUGUGAAUUGCAGAAUUCAGUGAAUCAUCGAAUCUUUGAACGCAUAUUGCGCUCUUUGGUAUUCCGAAGAGCAUGCUUGUUUGAGUAUCAGUAAACACCUCAAAGCUUUUGGAUUUUUUUAUCGAAAGCUUUGGACUUGAGCAAUCCCAACACCAAUCUUUUUUUAAGAUCGGUGGCGGGUUGCUUGAAAUGCAGGUGCAGCUGGACAUUCUCCUGAGCUAAAAGCAUAUUCAUUUAGUCCCGUCAAACGGAUUAUUACUUUUGCUGCAGCUAACAUAAAGGGAGUUUGACCGUAUUGGCUGACUGAUGCAGGAUUUCACAAGGGUCGGCAACGAUUCUUGUUAAACUCGAUCUCAAAUCAAGUAAGACUACCCUGCUGAACUUAAGCAUAUCAAUAAGCGGAGAUCGCGAUCUUGGUCAUUUAGAGGAAGUAAAAGUCGUAACAAGGUUUCCGUAGGUGAACCUGCGGAAGGAUCAUUAGUGAAUUAAACAUGCUUGGUGUCUUCGCUUCGGCAAGGCCCUUGCUUAAAUCACAUCCUAACACCUGUGAACUGUAAGACGUAUGAUGAGGUCUUUGGCCAAGUCAUCGUCUGCCCAUUUUUAACAAACAAUUAAUGUAACAAACGUAGUCUUAUUAUAACCUAAUA
rnacentral:misc_RNA from 1 species